rnacentral:rRNA from 1 species
AGCCCUUCGGGGUGGAUUAGUGGCGAACGGGUGAGUAACACGUGGGCAAUCUGCCCUGCACUCUGGGACAAGCCCUGGAAACGGGGUCUAAUACCGGAUGACACUUUCUCUCGCAUGGGAGAAGGUUGAAAGCUCCGGCGGUGCAGGAUGAGCCCGCGGCCUAUCAGCUAGUUGGUGAGGUAGAAGCUCACCAAGGCGACGACGGGUAGCCGGCCUGAGAGGGCGACCGGCCACACUGGGACUGAGACACGGCCCAGACUCCUACGGGAGGCAGCAGUGGGGAAUAUUGCACAAUGGGCGAAAGCCUGAUGCAGCGACGCCGCGUGAGGGAUGACGGCCUUCGGGUUGUAAACCUCUUUCAGCAGGGAAGAAGCGCAAGUGACGGUACCUGCAGAAGAAGCGCCGGCUAACUACGUGCCAGCAGCCGCGGUAAUACGUAGGGCGCAAGCGUUGUCCGGAAUUAUUGGGCGUAAAGAGCUCGUAGGCGGCUUGUCACGUCGGUUGUGAAAGCCCGGGGCUUAACCCCGGGUCUGCAGUCGAUACGGGCAGGCUAGAGUGUGGUAGGGGAGAUCGGAAUUCCUGGUGUAGCGGUGAAAUGCGCAGAUAUCAGGAGGAACACCGGUGGCGAAGGCGGAUCUCUG